UUUUAAAAACACAACGCCGCACUGAGUUUACUUGUCGGAGAGCAGCGGGCAAACAACAAACGAUAAAGGACAUUCCUACUUGGUCUUUGAACACACUCAGAAGAAUUGGAGAAACUGAGGAG